AACGAACGCUGGCGGCAGGCCUAACACAUGCAAGUCGAACGAUGUAGCAAUACAUAGUGGCGCACGGGUGAGUAACGCGUGGGAAUGUACCUUUUGGUGGGGAAUAACUCCGGGAAACUGGAGCUAAUACCGCAUACGCCCUUCGGGGGAAAGAUUUAUCGCCAAAAGAUAAGCCCGCGUGAGAUAAGAUAGUUGGUGGGGUAAUGGCCUACCAAGGUUACGAUCUCUAGCUGGUCUUAGUGGAUGACCAGCCACACUGGAACUGAGACACGGUCCAGACUCCUACGGGAGGCAGCAGUGGGGAAUAUUGGACAAUGGGCGAAAGCCUGAUCCAGCCACGCCGCGUGAGUGAUGAAGGCUCUAGGGUUGUAAAGCACUUUCAGCGGGGAGGAAGGCGGUGAGGUUAAUAACCUCAUCGAUUGACGUUACCCGCAGAAGAAGCACCGGCUAACUCCGUGCCAGCAGCCGCCGUAA
rnacentral:rRNA from 1 species